GCCAACCCCUCCUUCUUUUGUGAUGCCAAGGCUAGCCUUUACUCUGUCCCUGAUCUCCAAUGGUGUCUUUUUGGAGAAGGUGAUGGCUGAUUUUGUUGUGUUGAUCAUCUGUCCGGAGACUGAUUCAUACUGUUGGAGCACUUUUUUAGGGCCGCAACACAUGCUGGUGACGUUUUGGUGAAGAACAUAGUGUCGUCAGCGAAUAAGAGGUGGUUAAUUCGAGGACUUCCCCGUGCCAUGCGUAUCCCUGAGAGCAGCCCUCGUCUCGGAGCCACAUAACAUAGGCCGGAAAGGACUUCGCUACACAUGAUGAAGAUGAAGGGGGAUAGUGGAUCGCCUUGUCGUAUCCCGCGAGACGGGACGAUCAGGCCUUGAGCUUCUAAUAUUUCUUUAUUAUCUCACAUUCCUAUAGUCUUAUCUGCCAGAGAAGCAAAAUAUAAAUCGAAAACAUCAAAAACAAACCCCGCGCAAGCUCGGGGCCAAGCCCCUAGUUGUAAUAAAAAAAGGAAAAUAUACAAACAAAAUGUUACUGGGUGGAGUCGAACCAGAUAAUGGGGUGUCAGUUGAAAGGGAAAUCAACCAACUGAACUACAAACUUCUUCAGCUAUUAACAUACAAACACCAAAAUAUAAAAUUAAACAUGUGUCAGAUGACACCCCAUUCUAUAACGUAGAUCCGCCUCUGACCAUUUGUAGUCGAAUCAGCCAGAAGAAGUGAGAUGAGAAGCAACCUAAAUACAUCAGCUAAACAGACUAGGCUAUAGUUCUUGCAAAUUGGUCGACACAUGAAGCAAAAGCAAAGAUUCAAUCCCCAGCUGGAUCCCGCACGUCUGCUCCACCAGGGAAGACGAUGCACAAGCACGGUGCUGGACCACAGACCUCUGUAAAUAUUGAGUAUAACAUGAUUAUUGAUGAUGAUUUUGAGGAACCACCACCUUGUGAGGAAGACUCUCAUACGUAAAGAUGGUUCGUUCAUCGAUGAACGUGCAGAGGCUGUGGUUCUGGAGGUUGAGGAAACCAUUGAAGAGAUGACACAUGAUGGAUCUCCACUUGGCGACAGCCAAACUACCUCAACUGCUGCUACAACACAUUCAAGGCGCUUUCUCCUCAACCAAGAAUGCAUCAAGGUAAGCUCUUCUCACUUAAUUCUCAUUUUGGUUAAUACAUAUGUACUGAACUUGUGAACUUCUAAACCUGUGAUAAGAUAGAUGUUUGUUCAUAACUUGUUUAUAAUUUGUGUUAGAUAGAUGCUUUUGUGAGUUAACUUGUUUAGAACGUGUGCUAGGAUAUGAUCUCUGUGAUUUGUUGUUUGUAUAUUGUAUCUGAAUCACUACAAGAAAACUCAUUUAUAAAGACGACGGUUUUCGUAGUUAUUCCGUCGUAAAAUAGGGUUUACAAUGAAUUAACUACGAAAGCCAUUUCCUCGUUAAAUUUAUGUUCUAACGUAUAUUUCCUUGCUAAUUCGUCGUAAAUAUACGAGGAAAGCUUUCGUCGUAAAGUGGGGUCAACAAUUUCCUCGUAAAAGCCACAUAAACUAUUUCCCCAUAAAAGCCACGUAAACUCUUUCCUCAUAAAAGCCACGUAAACAUAUCCAUCGUAAAGUACACGUAAAUAAUUUCCUCGUAAAGUACAUCCAAAUCAUUUCCUCGUAAAGUACACAUAAAGGUUUUCCUUGUAAAGUACACGUAAACAAUUUCCUCGUAAAGUAGAUGUUCAAUUUCGUCAUUAUUUACAUGUAAAUUUACGACGAAUCUGCUUGUCUUUCAUGGUAAAUUCCUCGGUAACAAUUUUCAGUUUCCUCCUUAACUAGACGUAAAUUAGCUGCAAAUUUUCUUCGAUUCUUUAUUCUUUACAAAAACAAAAAUAUAAUCAAAUAUAUUUUUAAAUUUAUUUCAGAAUUCUUAAAAAUGUAAAUAAUAUAAAUCAAUACGAAAAUAUUUUAUAAAUAUUUAAGUUUCAAAUUUAUAAUACAAAAUAAAAAGAAGAAAAAAAAACUAAGGAUUGUUGUUGUGGAGCUCGUCGAAGAACUCAUGACUCCUCCCCAUACUUCUUCUUCAUCCUCCUCUGUGUGGGAUGGCUCUGGAAUGGGAUUUCGUGUCUGCAUAUCCGCAAACAUGGUCUCCAAAUGAGGAUUUCCAGCCGCUAUAACGUCUAGAAAGCCCUCGACUGAAGUCAUACGAGCUGUGAACGUAAACCGCGUCGAGUUCAUCUAAGAACACAGCUGAAUGACUUCAUCAGCCCGUCUGACCAUAAGAUGAUGUCGCUCUUGGGACAUCGUUGACGGAACCAAUCCCCAACGUACGUCCAUUUUUCUUAGGGACAACCUUAAAAAAAGAUUAAUAUUAUUAAAAAAAUAGAUUAAAUGAAUAAUAAUAAUAAUAAUAAAAGAUUUAAAAAAUUUUACAUCCUCGUAAAUCUGAUCUACUUCAAGUGUGGAUAAUGUGACCGGUAUUCCAUCGGGAGACUGCUGGGUCAGCUGGGUUUGGCGGUCUUCAAUCCGAGCAACCACCUCGUUAAAGAUUUGCUCGGACCUAGGAUCUACAAAUUGCCCAGCCUUGUUCUUGUGAGUCCUCUCGUAAAGAUCCUUAAGAGACGGGAGAACUCCUGUCUCUUUGGCCUAAAAAACAUUUAUGAAGUUAGAAUAUAUUAAAAAAUAAUAAUUAAUUAAAAUAUUUACCAUAACCAUACGGACACCGGCGUGGGGUUUUUGACCCGUAGUGUGAAGCAUCGGCCCGUUGCCCUGCUCAUCUUUCGUCUGACGGGAGGUAGAGGAACUGUUCGAGACUUUAAUGGAUGAUGGCAGGUUCAAAUAGCGGAUGAGGCCAUCCCACACAUCUGUGGUAAGCUCAGCCCUGCUCAUAACACCUUCACGAUCCAAUCAUCCUUCCAGUUGGAUACCGUGUCCAACAAUAGAGCUUUCGCCUUCCCGCUCGUUCACCCCUAUCGACCAAUGAUAUUUUUCUGUAAAAAGAAAAAUUAGAUUAAUAAUUAGUUUAAAAAAAAUAAAAAGUCGUAAUAAUAAAAAAUAAAGUCUAUAUAAUUAAUUAAUAGUAACUUACGGUGAACAUUUUGAACCACGUCUUUCUGACGUUGUCCGGCGUCAAUUUCCAGUUCGGAUGAGCGUCAGAAAAGUAGCCUUCGAUCACCUCGGUUACGUUCCGAUCGACAGAACCGUCAACCCCAAACCUGAAAAAAACAAAAAAAGUAUUAAAAUUACUUAUUUUUGUUAUAAAAAAACUGCACAAUAAAAAUGUAACAUACCACAAAGUUCCAUCCGGUCAGUCGGGGACUAAGGCAGGUAAACCUUUUCUGCCUAGCUGAGCGAGAAGGUCCUCGACGGUGUAAAUAGCAUAAGGAGCACUCGGCAGCACAAACAAAUCGGGAUGAAUCUCGGCCGCCAUCGGUGGAGGUGCCUCCUCUGGAACAUGAUCAUGAUGUGUGGGUGGCGUAUCAAACCGAGGAACCGGUGGCGGAACAUACGGAGGAACCGGUGGAGGAACAUACGGAGGAACCAGUGGUGCACCAAAUGAAGGCGACUGAGAGACUCACUGAUAAGACUGAGAGUCGGGGACAGUCUCCGGAAACGAAGAAUCAGGAGUUGAAGAAGAUGAUGCGCCUGUACGGCUACCAGGCUCACCAAACAUCUCUCUGUAAUGCGGUGUAAGCUUGUUCUUUCGAACCAUCUGAAAAAAUGAUUAAUUGUCAUUAUUAGCCAUAUAAAACAUAUAAAUAGAUUAUUAAUUAACAUUUAAAAAUCAUCAUCCUAUAUUAUCAACAAAUUCCAUAAACCUAUCUACAAAUUACCUACACUAACCACCUAAUCAACACUAAUUAUUAAACUAACCACCUAAGCUAAAUUAGAGAGGAAGUA